rnacentral:rRNA from 1 species
GACGAACGCUGGCGGCGUGCUUAACACAUGCAAGUCGAACGGAAAGGCCCUGCUUUUGUGGGGUGCUCGAGUGGCGAACGGGUGAGUAACACGUGAGUAACCUGCCCUUGACUUUGGGAUAACUUCAGGAAACUGGGGCUAAUACCGGAUAGGAGCUCCUGCUGCAUGGUGGGGGUUGGAAAGUUUCGGCGGUUGGGGAUGGACUCGCGGCUUAUCAGCUUGUUGGUGGGGUAGUGGCUUACCAAGGCUUUGACGGGUAGCCGGCCUGGGAGGGUGACCGGCACCAGGGGCCUGGGGUACGGGCCCGUAUGCUAACGGCGGCAAGAGGGGGGAAUCUUGCACAAUGGGGCGGAGCCUGAUGCAACAACCCCCGGUGCGGGAAGAUGGGCUUUGGGGUGUGAACCGCUUUCGCCUUUGACGAGGCCGUAGUGACGGUAAUUGGUAAAAAAGCCACGGCUAACUACGUG